rnacentral:rRNA from 1 species
AUGGCGACCGGCGCACGGGUGAGUAACACGUAUCCAACCUGCCGAUGACUCGGGGAUAGCCUUUCGAAAGAAAGAUUAAUACCCGAUGGCAUAGUUCUUCCGCAUGGUAGAACUAUUAAAGAAUUUCGGUCAUCGAUGGGGAUGCGUUCCAUUAGGUUGUUGGCGGGGUAACGGCCCACCAAGCCUUCGAUGGAUAGGGGUUCUGAGAGGAAGGUCCCCCACAUUGGAACUGAGACACGGUCCAAACUCCUACGGGAGGCAGCAGUGAGGAAUAUUGGUCAAUGGACGAGAGUCUGAACCAGCCAAGUAGCGUGAAGGAUGACUGCCCUAUGGGUUGUAAACUUCUUUUAUACGGGAAUAAAGUGAGGCACGCGUGCCUUUUUGUAUGUACCGUAUGAAUAAGGAUCGGCUAACUCCGUGCCAGCAGCCGCGGUAAUACGGAGGAUCCGAGCGUUAUCCGGAUUUAUUGGGUUUAAAGGGAGCGUAGGCGGACGCUUAAGUCAGUUGUGAAAGUUUGCGGCUCAACCGUGAAAUUGCAGUUGAUACUGGGUGUCUUGAGUACAGUAGAGGCAGGCGGAAUUCGUGGUGUAGCGGCGAAAUGCUUAGAUAUCACGAAGAACUCCGAUUGCGAAGGCAGC